rnacentral:rRNA from 1 species
GACGAACGCUGGCGGCGUGCCUAACACAUGCAAGUCGAGCGAGUGAAUCUCCUUCGGGAGUGAAGCUAGCGGCGGACGGGUGAGUAACACGUGGGCAACCUGCCUCAUAGAGGGGAAUAGCCUUUCGAAAGGAAGAUUAAUACCGCAUAAGAUUGUAGCUUCGCAUGAAGUAGCAAUUAAAGGAGCAAUCCGCUAUGAGAUGGGCCCGCGGCGCAUUAGCUAGUUGGUGAGGUAACGGCUCACCAAGGCGACGAUGCGUAGCCGACCUGAGAGGGUGAUCGGCCACAUGGGGACUGAGACACGGCCCAGACUCCUACGGGAGGCAGCAGUGGGGAAUAUUGCACAAUGGGGGAAACCCUGAUGCAGCAACGCCGCGUGAGUGAUGACGGCCUUCGGGUUGUAAAGCUCUGUCUUCAGGGACGAUAAUGACGGUACCUGAGGAGGAAGCCACGGCUAACUACGUGCCAGCAGCCGCCGUAACAC